rnacentral:tRNA from 1 species
GGGAAGGUGGCUCAGUGGUAGAGUGCUUGCCUUGCAUGCAUGAGGCCCUGCGUUAGAUUCCUGAUUCCUCA